rnacentral:rRNA from 1 species
AGCGUAGACGGCAAUGCAAGUCUGGAGUGAAAACCCACAGCUCAACUGUGGGAUUGCUUUGGAAACUGUAUAGCUAGAGUGCAGGAGAGGUAAGUGGAAUUCCUAGUGUAGCGGUGAAAUGCGUAGAUAUUAGGAGGAACACCAGUGGCGAAGGCGGCUUACUGGACUGUAACUGACGUUGAGGCUCGAAAGCGUGGGGAGCAAACAG